GUAUAGUACGUAGUUAGAUACAAGCAAAUAGUGUAACGAUUAAAAUAUGAAUCCCACUCGAAUACCAUGAAACAUCCAACUUUGAGCUUAUCUCUAUUAAUAUCGUUAGUCAUCAUCUCGAAUUCUCAAUCAGUUAGUCAGUUCUACAAAAGGACCCCAAAACACACACAUGACUACUAUUAUAGUAUACUAAUAACUGAACAUCGUGGGGAUGUAGCUCAGAUGGUAGAGCGCUCGCUUAGCAUGCGAGAGAGAAAGAAGAAGAUGGAAGCAACAUACGAUCGUGCUAGUGAGGUAAAUGCUUUCCACAAGAUGAAGAUAGGCGUAAGUAAAAUCCGUAUUCUUCCAUCACCCUCAUCAUCUCAAUCUAAUCGACUCAACUCCACUUGUUUCGUCAACAACCAUAGUUAUCCAAACUAUCGAUCUUAAAGGAGGUGUGUUCGAGUCGACGGUCACACGAAAGAACGUAACCUCGAUGAUCAAAGACGCGGUUGAGAUAUACGGAUUUUUUCAGGUGACUAACCAUGAGAUUUAAGUUGAAGUUAUGGAUAAGAUAAAAAGUUUUGUACUCGUGAUAUCACCGAAAAGGUUACGUAUAGUUUCGAUCUUUAUAGCUCUCCUUCAGCGAAUUGGAGAGAUACCCUAAGGCCCUGAUGUUCCAAAACAGAGGACUUACCAGAGAUUUGCGGGUACGAAAUAUAGUUUCACUUAUUUUUAAUAAUAAUUUUCACAAAAUAUAAUUACCCUAUUUUUAAUAUAUAUAAGAAGCAAAGAAGAAGAAUCAUUUAGUGUAUUGGUCAAUCUAAAGAUCCAUACUUAGUGUGAAUGUUUUAGGGAAAUCAAGUUGGAGUAUUCGAAACGAGUGAUGAAAAUAGAGAACUAAUCUUUGAGCUUUUAUAAGAAGCUUUAGGGCUGAAUGAAUCCUAACUACUUGAAAGAUAUGGAUUGCUCAAAAGAUCACAUUGGUGGUGGGCGUCAAUUUCUUCAAAAUGGUUAUUGGGUCGAUGUUCAUUUACAGCAAGUCGUUAUAGAGACACUAAUCAAAGCGUACGUACGUAUAAUGGAUGACUAGUUUGUGAGCAUGGAGCAUAGAGUUUGGCUAAUAAAGGUGAAGAGCCGUGGAUCUCAUUCGCAUCUUUCUUUGCGCAUCCUUUACCGACUUUACGAGUUUAUGGACCGAUAAAAGAGCUUCUGUUUGAGAAAAGCCUUCCCAAGUAUGAAGUGUAAAGACACCACUGUGACUGGGUAGACAAGUCAUUACAUGAUUGAGUGUGAAUACUAAAUUUUCAAGGAUGUGACGCUGUUUGGAAAUUAUAAUUAAGAAUUUAAAUAAAGAAUAUUUUAGUAGUUAUAUAUAACCUUUUUUUGUUAGUUAAAGGUUUUCUUUUUCUUUUGAUAGGAAUGUGAAUAUUCAUAUUAAUGAAAGAGUUUGAGAUUUACAAAAAUUGCCAC